GAUGAACGCUGGCGGCGUGCCUAAUACAUGCAAGUCGAGCGAACAGACGAGGAGCUUGCUCCUCUGACGUUAGCGGCGGACGGGUGAGUAACACGUGGAUAACCUACCUAUAAGACUCGGAUAACUUCGGGAAACCGGAGCUAAUACCGGAUAAUAUAAUGAACCGCAUGGUUCAAUAGUGAAAGACGGUUUUGCUGUCACUUAUAGAUGGAUCCGCGCCGCAUUAGCUAGUUGGUAAGGUAACGGCUUACCAAGGCAACGAUGCGUAGCCGACCUGAGAGGGUGAUCGGCCACACUGGAACUGAGACACGGUCCAGACUCCUACGGGAGGCAGCAGUAGGGAAUCUUCCGCAAUGGGCGAAAGCCUGACGGAGCAACGCCGCGUGAGUGAUGAAGGUCUUCGGAUCGUAAAACUCUGUUAUUAGGGAAGAACAAAUGUGUAAGUAACUAUGCACGUCUUGACGGUACCUAAUCAGAAAGCCACGGCUAACUACGUG
rnacentral:rRNA from 1 species